rnacentral:tRNA from 1 species
UGGGAUAUGGCCAAGUGGCAAGGCAACGGUUUUUGGUACCGCACAUCGUAGGUUCGAAUCCUACUAUCCCAG